CUCAUCCUGUUCUCAUACUCAUCCCGGCCUCAUACUCAUACCGGCCUCAUCCCGUUCUCAUACUCAUCCCGGCCUCAUCCUGUUCUCAUACUCAUCCCGGCCUCAUACUCAUACCGGCCUCAUCCCGGUCUCAUACUCAUCCCGGCCUCAUCCCGGCCUCAUCCCGCCUCAUCCCCUCUUCCCUCCCCCCUUCCGUCCCUCCUUCCCUCUUUACCUCGCUUCCUGAAUAAUAUUUCUGUGGCACCUUUCAUUAUAACGUAACGCUUUGCACGAAAUAAAGUGCAUCAAUGAGAAAAACAGCACCGCAGUGACAAUAAAGAGCCCAGAUCCCGUGCUGUCACGGCGCUGCAAACGAAUCGCCUGCAGAGCGGAGAUGUCUGCACAGAUGUGUGCGCCGCUGAUGGCUCUCCGCCAUGUGCAUGCGUGCUCGACUCUCGCAGGAGCAUCUGCACGCGUCACUCACGCGGCGAGUGCGCGUCUUUUGUGCGUUUGAACAUUCAAUUUUCAUAACAUCGUUCUCCCUCAUGCGUCUUCUCCUCCUUCUUCUCUUCACCCUGUUCUCCUCCCAUGCAAAGCGAGUGCAACGUCAGUCCUGUUUUUUGACGUGUUUAAGGCAGGAAAAAAAUGAAAACAACACAGCGGACUUUCACCCAGGAGAGGAGCGUCCAUGUUAAUCAUACGGGAAUGUCAUUUUGUAGACAUUGGCAGUCUUAUUAGUUUUGUUUGGGAGCCCUGUAAUAUUCCCUUCACAUCGGUUGUAGCAGCUCCCGCUUGGGCCUAGCCGAGCAUCAUGGGAAAUGUAUGGCUGCUUAGGAUUCAAGCCCCCCCCCCCCCUCCCCCUCCUCUACCAAGCCAGUCUUUGCAUUUGAGAUUUGAGUGAAAUAAGUUUUGGCUUUUCUCCGUUUCACAGCGUCUUCGUCUUUAACUCCUCUUUCCUCCCGACGUCCGUCCACCUGUCCUGCCGUCUCUCCCCAUCUCACACCUCUGGCCCCUUUAGAUUCUAACCGCCCCCCCCCCCCCCCCCCGCCACACCCAGAGUUAUCAGUGACUGAUCUGAACCGUUUCUUUCAGGGAAGGUUCUCUGUCCGUUUAUUUACCUUUUCAAAGGCCUUGUGACCUGCUGUUCCUCCUCAUACAGGUUUCAUAAGCUGGAAUACAGCGGCCCACUCAGCCCUUGUUUUCUUCCUAAGUGCUUUUUGUCCCGCGCGGUGACUCCCGAAGAAGACGAUGCCCGCUGUAAGACAGGAGAGAACACGGAACCGACCCCGUUGGUGCAGAAAAUGCGAACCGCGAAAGCCAUUUAUGUGUAACACAGUGUGACAGCUUCUAAAACCUGGUAAUACCCGCCCGCUGAGGAAAACACUCUAUUGUCCCUCCGAGUGUGGCCUCGUUCCUCACUCUAAGGGACUUCUACACAGACGCUGAUGGGACUGAAGCCCCCUCCGCCCUCCGUUUCUGCUGCUGUACACAGUGGAUGUGAGAGGAGGCCAAACAAAGCACUGGGAAAUAAAAGAGGAGCUCAACAGCGGAGCGUAAGUGUGAUGGAGGUGAUGGGGGGCCGAGAAGGAAGGGAGACGCGAGUCACGAGGAGCUGCUGAAGAGCGAAAAGGAAGAGCAGAUUCAAACUGACCAUUAAGCGGAUACGUGCAGUUUGCACUUGCACCAGCUAAUUUUCAAAAUAUGCUGAUUGAUGGAAGCUGUAGUACAAAACUAAGAAUGUAAUUUAGCUUCAUUUUAAUAAAGCAGAUUUGACAUUCUAGUGCGAUAACAAGUCUCUGUAUCUCCUCGCUAAUUAGGGCUGCCCUGUGUAUUAGAUAAUGCGGGUCAUUUGUCAGGGAGCCGCCGCCCAUUCUAUGUUCAGAUAAUCAUAUUUAUACCCCACCAAAGAGCAACACAAUAGAAGGGCCUCAGCCUCGGAUGCACAAAUGUGGUCUUAAUGCAAUUCAAGAAGCAUUGAAGGAGCAAACCGGUCAGACAGCAAGACCCGAUCACACUUAUGGGCGACGGAUCAGACCGGACAUCACAGACCACUCUGCACGGGUUGCCGUGGUAGCGACUUUC
ensembl:lncRNA